CCUAUGGGAGGCAGCAGUGGGGAAUUUUGGACAAUGGGCGAAAGCCUGAUCCAGCCAUUCCGCGUGAGUGAAGAAGGCCUUCGGGUUGUAAAGCUCUUUCGCAAGGGAAGAAACGUUACGAGCGAAUAACUCGUGAUAAUGACGGUACCUUGAUAAGAAGCACCGGCUAACUACGUGCCAGCAGCCGCGGUAAUACGUAGGGUGCGAGCGUUAAUCGGAAUUACUGGGCGUAAAGCGUGCGCAGGCGGUUUUGUAAGUCAGAUGUGAAAUCCCCGGGCUCAACCUGGGAACUGCGUUUGAAACUACAAGGCUAGAGUAUGGUAGAGGGGGGUAGAAUUCCACGUGUAGCAGUGAAAUGCGUAGAGAUGUGGAGGAAUACCAAUGGCGAAGGCAGCCCCCUGGACUAAUACUGACGCUCGUGCACGAAAGCGUGGGGAGCAAACAGGAUUAGAUACCCUGGUAGUCCACGCCUUAAACGAUGUCUACUAGUUGUUGGGAGAGUAAAAUCUCUUAGUAACGCAGCUAACGCGUGAAGUAGACCGCCUGGGGGAGGUACGGUCGCGAGAAGUAAACUACGUUAAGAAGUAGUUAGGCGUGNGAGNGCGACGGACGACGACGAGGGAGGAGG
rnacentral:rRNA from 1 species